rnacentral:misc_RNA from 1 species
UGUGGCAAUUAGGGCCACCUGUCUUCCCCACCGUGUAGCAGGCUAGGGAUAUACACUACCGGGUUUACAUUAUACAGUGUAUAUAAAGGCUGGGGUACACUACCUCACUGUUUACUAUAGAGCACCUGCUCCGAGCUAAUAGUUAUCCGAACGGAGGCUUUUGGAACAAGAUUUUUGCAUUCAAUCUGUUAACUGUUUAGUAUGUAAUAAUUAUAUAUAUGGUGUAACAUUAAUCUUUAAACAUGUGUGUUUUUCUGUGAUCAUGGAUGAGUUACAAUAAUGUGUUUUUAAGUGAACUUUUUAACUUAAGACGUUUUCGGAGUUCCAUUGGGAUCCAAUAUGAAAGGAAACACGGUGAAUAUUCUGGUACUGGGAAAAGAAGGCGUAGGAAAAACAGCUUUAGUCGUUCGUUUUCUGACCGGAAGAUUCCUUACCGAGUACGCGCAGUGCGAUGAAAUGGCGUACGAAAGAAGCAUCGCAUUGGAUGACAAACAAGUGUCUCUCAAGGUCAUUGAUGUUGGUGGCAAGAACAUAGACAAAAAGUCGGGUUCAAAGGAGAGUCUCCAGAAGAUAGAUGGCGCAGUUGUUGUAUACUCCAUCACCGACCGCCAGAGUUUUGACGUGGCUGAAUCCGUCGUUGAUUGGUUGAGAAAAGAACGUAGUUCAUGCAUUCCAAUUGUAUUACUAGGCAACAAAUCCGACCUUGACCACGCGCGGGCGGUCUCUAACCAAAAAUCCGAGGACAUCGAAUGGCGAAACACUGGGUACAUGCUUUCCGAAUGUUCUGCGUCAUCAGAUUCCGAAGGAGUGACGAAGAUUUUCCACAUGCUUGUCCGAAAGAUACUGGAAAAACGUGACACGCACAUCAAAGCCCAGAGGAAGUUAUCAUUAUCGCACGCACCUCUGGGGUCGCCCAAAUUGAUCAGAGCUCACCUUCGUAGGAGAUUCAGUGUGUUUACCCGGGAAAGGACUUCAACAAUGUAGCUGUAUUGUAUAAACAACCCUGGCUUCAGAUGUGAGAGUCUUUGGAGUCACAGAAGUAUAUCUAUUGCUCGCAUAUGCAAAAACAGUGUAUCUGUAAGCAAAUGUCAGGCCUUACAAAAGAUAAGAUAAAGGAAUAUAGAUGUAAACUAAUUUAUUUACUGAAUAGAAGAUUCUGCAUCUCUGUAUCGUCUACAAAUUAUCUAUCAAGGACAGAAAUGCAUUGAUUCUCAAUAUAAAGCACAUUGUAAUUGGAAGAAUAGACACUCACAAAGCAACUGUGUAUUGUGUGCUUUCUAAUUCUUGUUUUGUUAGAAUCGUUCUGUUAUCAAUAAUAUUACAAACACGUCGACAUAAAAUAGAACAAAGGCGUAAACAGUAACUGUAACGGCCAUGGAGAACGGUUUAUUUAUUGGGGAUCAACAAUGACAAUGACUGACCUACAAGAAGUGUCCAUUUGCAAUCAGCUGUUGUUACUUGGUAACGUCCAAACACUGAGAAACAUGUGUAAGGUAGGAAUGGAGAUCUAUCAGGAAUAGCGGUACCAAUGUUUUCAACCUUUCCAAGAAAUAGUGACAUCCUUAUAUUGAACGGAACAUUUGUUUGUGUCAGCAAUUAUAGAACGAGGUUCAGCUAGUUCAGUGUCUGUCCGGUGCGCAUUGCCUCUUCACCCCCGACCGUACAGGGGAUGGGCAAGUCAGUCAAGUGUGAGGAAGAAAACAUAUUUAAGCGUGUUUGCAUGAUAUAUAUAUCAGUAUGGAAAAGACAUCAUUCGACUAUUAUCUUAUUGUGUGUAUAUACAGCAUAUUAUACGGACUCUCUUGGAGCGAUAAGUGUGUGG